rnacentral:rRNA from 1 species
GACACGGCCCAGACUCCUACGGGAGGCAGCAGUGGGGAAUCUUGGACAAUGGGCGCAAGCCUGAUCCAGCCAUGCCGCGUGAGUGAUGAAGGCCUUAGGGUCGUAAAGCUCUUUCGCCAGAGAUGAUAAUGACAGUAUCUGGUAAAGAAACCCCGGCUAA